UGGGGAAUAUUGGACAAUGGGGGAAACCCUGAUCCAGCAAUGCCGCGUGUGUGAAGAAGGCCUUCGGGUUGUAAAGCUCUUUCACCGGUGAAGAUAAUGACGGUAACCGGAGAAGAAGCCCCGGCUAACUUCGUGCCAGCAGCCGCGGUAAUACGAAGGGGGCUAGCGUUGUUCGGAAUUACUGGGCGUAAAGCGCACGUAGGCGGACAUUUAAGUCAGGGGUGAAAUCCCGGGGCUCAACCCCGGAACUGCCUUUGAUACUGGGUGUCUAGAGUAUGGAAGAGGUGAGUGGAAUUCCGAGUGUAGAGGUGAAAUUCGUAGAUAUUCGGAGGAACACCAGUGGCGAAGGCGGCUCACUGGUCCAUUACUGACGCUGAGGUGCGAAAGCGUGGGGAGCAAAC
rnacentral:rRNA from 1 species